rnacentral:rRNA from 1 species
AACGAACGCUGGCGGCAUGCCUAACACAUGCAAGUCGAACGAGACCUUCGGGUCUAUUGGCGCACGGGUUCGUAACGCGUGGGAACCUUCCCUUAGGUUCGGAAUAACUCCCCGAAAGGGGUGCUAAUACCGGAUAAUGUCUUCGGACCAAAGAUUUAUUGCCUUUGGUUGGGCCCGCGUUGGAUUAGCUAGUUGUUAGAGUAAAAGCCUACCAAGGCGACGAUCCAUAACUGGUCUGAGAGGAUGAUCAGCCACACUGGGACUGAGACACGGCCCAGAAUCCUACGGGAGGCAGCAGUGGGGAAUAUUGGAAAAUGGGCGAAAGCCUGAUCCAGCAAUGACGAGUGAGUGAUGAAGGCCUUAGGGUUGUAAAGCUCUUUUACCCGGGAUGAUAAUGACAGUACCGGGAGAAUAAGCUCCGGCUAACUACGUG